CCUACGGGAGACAGCAGUGAGGAAUAUUGGUCAAUGGACGGAAGUCUGAACCAGCCAUGCCGCGUGCAGGAAGACGGCUCUAUGAGUUGUAAACUGCUUUUGUACAAGGGUAAACCUGAAUACGUGUAUUCAGCUGAAAGUACUGUACGAAUAAGGAUCGGCUAACUCCGUGCCAGCAGCCGCGGUAAUACGGAGGAUCCAAGCGUUAUCCGGAUUUAUUGGGUUUAAAGGGUGCGUAGGCGGAUUGAUAAGUUAGAGGUGAAAUGUCCGAGCUUAACUCGGGAACUGCCUCUAAUACUGUUGGUCUAGAGAGUAGGUGAGGUAGGCGGAAUGUAUGGUGUAGCGGUGAAAUGCUUAGAGAUCAUACAGAACACCGAUUGCGAAGGCAGCUUACCAAUCUAUAUCUGACGUUGAGGCAUGAAAGCGUGGGGAGCAAACAGGAUUAGAUACCCUAGUAGUC
rnacentral:rRNA from 1 species